rnacentral:rRNA from 1 species
GACAGAGGUGCCGAGCGUUAGGCGGAAUCACUGGGCUUAAGGCGUGUGUAGGCGGGUCGUUAAGUGUCUUGUGAAAUCCCACCGCUCAACGGUGGAACUGCUGGGCAUACUGGCGAUCUUGAGCCACCUAGGGGCAGACGGAACAAGCGGUGGAGCGGUGAAAUGCGUAGAUAUCGCUUGGAACGCCGACGGUGAAAACAGUCUGCUGGGGGUGUGCUGACGCUGAGACACGAAAGCCAGGGGAGCGAACGGG